UAGCAAUACGGCAGCGGCAGACGGGAGAGUAACACGUGGGAACGCGCCCUUCGGUUCGGGAUAACUCAGGGAAACUUGGGCUAAUACCGGAUACGCCCUUACGGGGAAAGAUUUAUUGCCGAAGGAACGGCCCGCGUCCGAUUAGCUUGUUGGUGAGGUAACGGCUCACCAAGGCGACGAUCGGUAGCUGGUCUGAGAGGAUGACCAGCCUCACUGGGACUGAGACACGGCCCAGACUCCUACGGGAGGCAGCAGUGGGGAAUAUUGGACAAUGGGCGCAAGCCUGAUCCAGCCAUGCCGCGUGGGUGAUGAAGGCCCUAGGG
rnacentral:rRNA from 1 species